UUUCCGUAGGUGAACCUGCGGAAGGAUCAUUAAAGAGAUCAUGCUCUCACGGGUAGACCUCCCACCCUUUGUUUACAAUACCUUUGUUGCUUUGGCGGGCCCGUUUGGCCCCGCGCUGAACAACCGGCCCCGGCUGGUCAGUGCCCGCCAGAGAACCGAAAACUCUGAAUUAAAUGUCGUCUGAGUACUAUGUAAUAGUUAAAACUUUCAACAACGGAUCUCUUGGUUCUG
rnacentral:misc_RNA from 1 species